GACGAACGCUGGCGGCGUGCUUAACACAUGCAAGUCGAACGGAAAGGCCCUGCUUUUGUGGGGUGCUCGAGUGGCGAACGGGUGAGUAACACGUGAGUAACCUGCCCUUGACUUUGGGAUAACUUCAGGAAACUGGGGCUAAUACCGGAUAGCAGCUCCUGCUGCAUGGUGGGGGUUGGAAAGUUUCGGCGGUUGGGGAUGGACUCGCGGCUUAUCAGCUUGUUGGUGGGGUAGUGGCUUACCAAGGCUUUGACGGGUAGCCGGCCUGAGAGGGUGGACGGGCACAUUGGGACUGAGGUACGGCCCAGACUCGUACGGGAGGCAGCAGUGGGAAAUAUUACACAGUGGGCGGAAGCGUGAUACGGAGACGCCGGGUGCGGAAUGACGGCCUUCGGGUUGUAAACCGCUUUCGCCUGUGACGAAGCGUGAGUGACGGUAAUGGGUAAAGAAGCACCGGCUAACUACGUG
rnacentral:rRNA from 1 species